ACUGUAUGAAAGAUGAUAACAAUAGUUACACAACUCAGAUGCAUGUAUAGCCCCAAGUUACACUAUUCAGUUGCCUCGGUAACUCAUAGUUACACAUUAAGUUGGAUGACACUGUAAAAGAACCCAAUCAACUGUUGAUAUCAGAGAAAGAUAUCCCUCAGGAAACCUUGGAGAAAGGGAAUACAAAAUCCUGAAUAUAU